CUGCAGCCACCACAGCUUCUACAAUGACCAAAACCACAACCGCCAUAAUGACCACGACAGCAUCAACUACAGUGGCGAUCACUAUUACCCAGCUGGAAUUCACAUCUGCCGGAGAGUUAUUUACAGCUGACCUUUUGACUUCAACAUCUGCAGCUUUUCAAGCUCGAGCCACAUUGAUAAAGUCAAAACUUGAACCUUUCUACACGUCAGCAUUCUCUUCCUUCAGUAGCUUGACAGUGGUAUCGUUCAGACAGGGAUCGAUCAUCAAUACUGCGGACCUACGGUUUUCU